GUGUUUUCCUCCCGGGGGCCGUGCUCCCCCGCCCCGCGUAGCGGCGGUCGCCGCCACCGGCGCCUCCACCUCUACCAUCUCCUCUUUCUCCACCACCUCGGGCCCCGGUGUCCCCGGCCAGCACUAUGCCCAUCUUACUGUUCCUGAUAGACACGUCUGCCUCUAUGAACCAGCGCAGCCAUCUGGGCACCACCUACCUGGACACGGCCAAAGGCGCGGUAGAGACCUUCAUGAAGCUCCGUGCCCGGGACCCUGCCAGCAGAGGAGACAGGUAUAUGCUGGUCACUUUCGAAGAGCCGCCCUAUGCUAUCAAGGCUGGAUGGAAAGAAAACCAUGCAACGUUUAUGAAUGAACUGAAAAACCUUCAGGCUGAAGGACUUACGACUCUUGGCCAAUCCCUAAGGACAGCUUUUGAUUUAUUAAAUUUAAAUAGAUUAGUAACUGGCAUAGACAACUAUGGGCAGGGAAGAAACCCUUUUUUCUUGGAGCCAGCAAUAAUUAUCACAAUUACUGAUGGGAGCAAGUUGACUACCACCAGUGGAGUCCAGGAUGAGCUAAAGGAGCAGCCCAGUGGUUUUCAAGAAGUGCCAAAGUGCACUGACUGUCUCAUGAUGACUGGUGCCUCAGGGAGGGUCAUGAUUCCUGGAUACAGGAUCGACCUGAUCCUGGAUGUCACUUCAAGCAGUCAGAUCGUGGGGAAAAGCCUUGUCUAA
rnacentral:sRNA from 1 species